CCAGUGGAGGACCAGUGGUUAAGCCUCGGUGCUCUCACCGCCGCGGCCCGGGUUCGAUUCCCGGCCAGAGAG